AUGGCGUGUAAAAGAAACCUGAGUUUUACUACUCCCGUGAGUAAUAGGGCUUUGCAACCAGCAGCAAGCCCACUGAGCAUAAAUGAUUUAACGAAACAGCUGAUCUCCGGUCAGAACGCUUUGUCUCGUCAGCUUGAGGGUUUGAUGGAGAAGCAAGCUGCAAACACUGUUCUUCUCGAAGAUGCUAUCCAGCGUCUUUGUGCUCUUGAGCGAAAGUUUGACGAGCAAAGACCGCAAGAGGAACAAAGACCGCGGGAAGAGCCAUUACAUAAAAGGAUAAAGAGGGCGCACAACGUGGGCAUUGCGGAAGCUGUAAGGCGCCUUCACAAUUCGGAAAACAACCCACAUAAAUAUGAUCCACAAACUGGAAUAAGUUUGCCUCGUAACCAAGCAGUCAUGACUUAUCAGCUAGAGGAAUUGAAAUCAACUUUUGCAGAUGCAGACCCUGAGUGUAUACAAGCGUGUUGCAAGACAUACUUUGAAACACUUCGGAGAAAGUACAAUUUGUCUCAGCCAGAAAAGUCCCAGCUAAGAGAUGCCAUUAAAACAGGAGCUAAAAACCGACAAAGGAAAAGACGGUUGCUGGAUUCCAGGUCCAAGGUUGUUCAAACCGAUGCAGAGAGAGAGCUUUGGCAGACUGCAACAGUGGAGCUGAUGUCUGACGAGGAGGAUGCCAUUGUUGAUGGAAGGCCAGUGUGGAUUGUGAGGUCUCCAUCUCACAGGAACCCACAAUUGUCAGAACUUUGUGAGGAGCUUCAGCGCAGAUUGGAGGCAGACAUGCGCUACACUAUUUUGCAUCAUCAGCGUGUUAAGGCUGAUGGAAAUGGACAUGAUGGACCUUCCUUUCUUCAACUUUAA
rnacentral:lncRNA from 12 species